rnacentral:rRNA from 1 species
UACAGAGGGUGCGAGCGUUAAUCGGAAUUACUGGGCGUAAAGCGCGCGUAGGCGGCUUUGCAAGUCGGGUGUGAAAUCCCCAGGCUUAACCUGGGAACUGCAUUCGAGACUGCAUUGCUAGAGUAUGGGAGAGGGAAGUGGAAUUUCCGGUGUAGCGGUGAAAUGCGUAGAUAUCGGAAGGAACAUCAGUGGCGAAAGCGACUUCCUGGACCAAUACUGACGCUCGUGGGCGAAAGCUAGGGGAGCGAACGGG